rnacentral:lncRNA from 1 species
UAAAUUUACAUAAGUCAUGCUGACGGCCAAAAAUGUUGAAGAAUAGAUCCAAAGAUAUUGAUAAUGAAGCGUGGUCCAAUGAAAACUAUUUCAGCUCUCUCUUGCUUUUACAGAGUAAGCAUAUACGACAUUGAUUUAGUCUUUUCAUGCUCUAACAUUUGGAGGGAGGAGUAUUUCCCAAAAUUAUUAGGAAUCGUUCUUAAAUUUUUUGGAAGAAUUUCAUUACUAUAUAGUAACAAAUGUAAUUGUCAUUGAGGAAUGCAAGCUUUUAGUAAAUAGUUUCACACUUAUUUAAACCAUGAUGGACUGCUAAAACAUACAAUUACAUGAAAACACAUUUUGCCAACAUAAGUCAUGAAACAUAUAUUUCUGAAACUUUGUGAUCAUUGUCCUCUACAGAAAAAGACACGUUCUGGCCUAUUUAUUG